CUCGCGAUCCCAGACGGACGUCUGAGGAAAAUACUCAAGUAGUGCAGUGAAAGGAAAAAUUCUAACCUCGACCGUAAAUACCGCGUGUCCAUCGUGGCUAAGAUCUAGUCAAAAGAUCAGCCGACCAUUCCUACGUUUAGUAAGCGAAGGCCGAACCCAUCGGGUUUGGCCGUACGUAAUACCGUACGAAACGCCGGUCGUAGUGCCGUAAGCCGUACCCGCUACAGUCUCGUCACCUUACCACACAUAUAAAUACCCAGCGUCCCGAUCGACUACAGUAUGUGUUAGCCGUCUUCGCCCCCAAAUCUUCUUUCGGCGUGGCGUCUGCAUACAUGUGAGCAUCACUGUAUUUACCGCAGCGUGUACCGGCGUGGGUCCACACACAUACAAGCCUUGCUCGGCCUACACCAGUGAAAAACGGUCGAUGGGCUUUUAUCUACGCGUGCAGGGACAUACAUAUGUACAUAUGUGUGAAAUUGACUAUUCCCUCUUCAGUGACUUUCGUCAUUGCUACGUCGCUUACGCCGCCCGCAUACGAACAGUAACGCUAAAGGAGAAGACAUUUACCGGUGCCGAAAUACUGUUUGCGAUGCUGAUGAAGUCAUUCGGUGUCUCGAUCAUGAUGGCUAUGCCCAUGCAUUUCUUAAUAUUAGAAUAAUACUUUGGAACCCCACUAUUGUACUGACCCUAGGAUUAACAUUAAAAGUUAAAUUCGUGUGAUUCGGUUUGUUUGGCUUAUCAUAAAGAAAUGUGCAGCUAGAAGGAAAGGAACUAAAACUAAUACUCGCGCGUAUCGCCUAUCUACUCUGACACACUGAUAUUUACAAGUUUUCAGCCACCCUCAUCGACCUCAUGGAAGCGCUUUCAUCGUUGGAUUUGAUCGUAAUCCGUACUGUAACGCUGACCAAUCCAAUUGUUCACGUGUUUGUUUUGUUCUGCUCUUUCGCAAGCAAUGUAACUUUCUGCAAUUCCGAAUCUAUCGACAACCGAACUUAUGAUUGGGAUUACCCCACAAGCAAUUGCUGUGCACUUUAAAGAUGCACCUAUCCGUCCCUUGUUUUUGCAUUUAAACUGAAAACCAUUCGAAUAUAUUUCUAUUUGUGUAACGUAAUUACCAUUAUUCCUGAAUAUACUCUUUAUAAUUAGUUGACCCUAGUCUAAUAAGAUCUUUCAUCA